AACCAACUUUUUAGCAUACACACCACUGCCCCACAAACAACACAUUAUUUAUAUUAAAUCAUUCUUCCCCCAAGUAUGGGCGACAGAAAGGAGUCUUGAUAGCUUCAGAGAGAGUACCGCAAGGGACCCUUGAAAAAGAAAUGAAACAACUCUUAAGACAAAGAACAGCAAAGCUUCACCCUUGUACCUUUUGCAUCAUGGAUUAACCAGCCUCCCAAGCAAAGAGAUUUUUAGUUUGACACCCCGAAACCAGGCGAGCUACUUCAAGUCAGCCCUCUGG
rnacentral:rRNA from 1 species